UACAGAGGGUGCAAGCGUUGUUCGGAAUUAUUGGGCGUAAAGCGCGUGUAGGCGGCUUUGCAAGUCGGGUGUGAAAGCCCUCAGCUCAACUGAGGAAGGGCGCCCGAAACUGCAGAGCUUGAGUGCCGGAGAGGGUGGCGGAAUUCCCCAAGUAGAGGUGAAAUUCGUAGAUAUGGGGAAGAACACCGGUGGCGAAGGCGGCCACCUGGACGGUAACUGACGCUGAGACGCGAAAGCGUGGGUAGCAAACAGG
rnacentral:rRNA from 1 species